UACGGAGGGUGCGAGCGUUGUCCGGAAUCACUGGGCGUAAAGGGCGCGUAGGCGGCGCGGAUAGUCGGCGGUGAAAGCCCGGAGCUCAACUCCGGGUCGGCCGUCGAUACUUCCGGGCUUGAGCACUGUAGAGGCAGAUGGAAUUCCGGGUGUAGCGGUGGAAUGCGUAGAGAUCCGGAAGAACACCGGUGGCGAAGGCGGUCUGCUGGGCAGUUGCUGACGCUGAUGCGCGACAGCGUGGGAGCAAACGAGGA
rnacentral:rRNA from 1 species